rnacentral:rRNA from 1 species
CGGCAGGCCUAAUACAUGCAAGUCGAGGGGUAACAUGAGUGCUUGCGCUUGAUGACGACCGGCGCACGGGUGCGUAACGCGUAUGCAACCUGCCACACACUGAGGGAUAGCCCAGAGAAAUUUGGAUUAAUACCUCAUGGUACAACGAGUUCGCAUGAUUUUGUUGUUAAAGAAUUUCGGUGUGUGAUGGGCAUGCGUCCAAUUAGCUUGUUGGUAAGGUAACGGCUUACCAAGGCUACGAUUGGUAGCGGGUCUGAGAGGAUGAUCCGCCACACUGGUACUGAGAUACGGACCAGACUCCUACGGGAGGCAGCAGUAGGGAAUAUUGGGCAAUGGAGGCAACUCUGACCCAGCCAUGCCGCGUGAAGGAUGAAGGCGUUCUGCGUUGUAAACUUCUUUUAUAUAGGAAGACCUAGCCUUGCGAGGUGAAAAGACGGUACUAUAUGAAUAAGCACCG